rnacentral:rRNA from 1 species
AAUAUUGGACAAUGGGGGCAACCCUGAUCCUGCCAUUCCGCGUGUGUGCAGAAGUUCUUCGGAUUGUACAGCACUUUAAGCUGGGAGGAAGGGCUUUAGGUUAAUACCCUGAAGUUUUGACGUUACCAACAGAAUAAGCACCUGCUAACUCUUUUCCAGCAGCCGCGGUAAUACAGAGGGUGCAAGCGUUAAUCGGAAUUACUGGGCGUAAAGCGCGCGUAGGUGGUUCAGUAAGAUGGGUGUGAAAUCCCCGGGCUUAACCUGGGAACUGCUUUCAUAACUGCUGAGCUAGAGUACGGUAGAGGGUAGUGGAAUUUCCUGUGUAGCGGUGAAAUGCGUAGAUAUAGGAAGGAACACCAGUGGCGAAGGCGACUACCUGGACUGAUACUGACACUGAGGUGCGAAAGCGUGGGGAGCAAAC